GAUGGACAUGCAGCCCUUCGUCAAGGAGGCGCUGCGGGAGCUGCAGCGGCUGCGGCCGGCGGCGGCCGGGGGCCGAGUGCAGCACGGGGACUUCGCCGAGUGCCGCGCCAGGCUGCAGGCGCUGGCCGAGUGCGUCGAGGGGCGCGCAGGUACCUCUUCCCAGGCUGUCCCCGUGGUCGAGGUGGCCCUGGAGAAUGACCAGCAAGAGGAGCCCACCCAGCGUGGGAGCCCAGGCAUCGUGCCCACCUUCACCAUCAGCCUCGGGGACAUGCGGGUGAGCACGCUCCCCCCUGCCGCCGUGCGGUCCAAGCGGUGGUGGCCCCAGGUGGAAAGGGGCAGCCAGGUGUCACCCAAGGUGCUGAAGCUGGAGCACAACACCACGGCGGCCCCCAGUGAGCCCAGUUCAACCCAGAAGGAUGGCAGAGGGGAGCCCAGCACCUCCGCAACCAGCCACAACCGCAGCAGCGUCCCCAAGGCUGGCAGGAGCCGCGCUAAUGAUGCAGAAGACACCAGCAUCAUCAUCUGCAGCUCGGAGGACAGCGAGGAGGACACGGUGGUGAGUGUGACGCCAGACCUGCCUCCCUGCUGAGCCGCCACGCCGCACGCAGAAGUGGCAGUGGGCAGCCGCUGCCACCGUCCCCGCGUCCUGCCCACGCUAAGGACCGGGCUGCCUCUCCUCGUCCCCUCUGAAGCAGCCAGGGUCACCUCCCCACUCCGGGAGGCAGCAAAGCCCGCUUGGAUUUGCUCGGAGGUGGGGUCCCACGUGGCAGCAUCCCCAAAUUGACCUCAAGGGGCGUCCCGACGGCCUCUUCCUUCCCGAAGAGUCCCAGCUCUGGGCAGAGGGACAGCUGUCUGGCUCGGACUCUUCCCCAGGAAAGAAUUAAAGGAUUAAAGGAUUUAGGAGCCUGAAACCAUCCUUGAUAUCGCCCCCAGCAGUUCUUUGCCAGGGGUCACUGAGUCCCCAAGAGGGGCAGAUAUGGGGAUGGAGGAUGGGGAUGGAGGAUGGGGAUGGAGGUUACCAAUUCCUUUUUUAUUUUUUCCCCUAAGCUUCAGAUAACACAACCCUCACCCCGCUGCAGGGAGAGCUGCUCAAACCCCCACUCCUGUAGUGCUGCUUUCCCUAGGAGAUUCGUGCCAUUGCCCCUUUGCCACCCCGCGCCAAGGGGAUUAGAGCAGGCUUCCCUGGGAAAGUUAUCCACAGCUCAAAACCCAUUUUUAUAUGAAAAUCAUGUUUUUAAGUUGAAUGUAGCACCCGUGCUCAUCCCCCCCCCAGUGCAGGGGUUGUUAGAUGGGAUGGGCCAUGGGAUCCCUGCCAGGAUCUCCCCACCACCAGCAUUUGUGGGGGGUCCCUUUGGAAACAGAUUUGGGGCCGGGGGUGGGUUUGCAGAGCUGGCUGAAUGAGGGGUUACCAGCCUUCUUUUUUUUCUUUUGUAUAAGUUAAUCAUGCAAAAACUCUUAUUAUUCUUCAAUAAAGCUGUUUCCAGACCAAAUCCUAGCCUGCUG
rnacentral:lncRNA from 1 species